rnacentral:rRNA from 1 species
AAUGAACGCUGGCGGCAGGCCUAAACAUGCAAGUCGAACGCUGUAGCAAUACAGAGUGGCGCACGGGUGAGUAACAUGUGGGAAUAUGCCUAUUGGUACGGAACAACGUUUGGAAACGAACGCUAAUACCGUAUGGUCCCUUCGGGGUAAAGAUUUAUCGCCAAUAGAUUAGCCCGCACUAGAUUAGCUAGUUGGUGAGGUAAGAGCUCACCAAGCCGACGAUCGGUAGCUGGUCUGAGAGGAUGAUCAGCACACUGGGACUGAGAUACGGCCAGACUCCUACGGAGGCAGCAGUGGGGAA